rnacentral:SRP_RNA from 1 species
GUUAGGCAUGGUGGCAUGUGCCCAUAAUCCCAGCUGAGGCAGGAGAAUUGCUUGAGUACAGGAGUUCUGGGCUGUAGUGUGCUAUGCUGAUCGGGUGUCCACAGUAAGUUUGGAAUCAAUAUGGUGACCUCCUGGCAGUGAGGGACCAUCAGGUAGCCUAAGGAGAUGUGAACUAGUCCAGGUAGGAAAUGGAGCAGAUCAAAACUCCUGUGUUGAUAAGUAGUGGGAUCAUGUCUGUGAAUAGGCACUGUGCUCCAGCUUGGGCAACAUAGUGAGACCACAUCUUU